GACGAACGCUGGCGGCGUGCUUAACACAUGCAAGUCGAACGGAAAGGCCCUGCUUUUGUGGGGUGCUCGAGUGGCGAACGGGUGAGUAACACGUGAGUAACCUGCCCUUGACUUUGGGAUAACUUCAGGAAACUGGGGCUAAUACCGGAUAGGAGCUCCUGCUGCAUGGUGGGGGUUGGAAAGUUUCGGCGGUUGGGGAUGGACUCGCGGCUUAUCAGCUUGUUGGUGGGGUAGUGGCUUACCGAGGCUUUGACGGGUAGCCGGCCUGAGAGGGUGACCGGCCACAUUGGGACUGAGAUACGGCCCAGACUCCUACGGGAGGCAGCAGUGGGGAAUAUUGCACAAUGGGCGGAAGCCUGAUGCAGCAACGCCGCGUGCGGGAUGACGGCCUUCGGGUUGUAAACCGCUUUCGCCUGUGACGAAGCGUGAGUGACGGUAAUGGGUAAAGAAGCACCGGCUAACUACGUGCCAGCAGCCGCGGUGAUACGUAGGGUGCGAGCGUUGUCCGGAUUUAUUGGGCGUAAAGGGCUCGUAGGUGGUUGAUCGCGUCGGAAGUGUAAUCUUGGGGCUUAACCCUGAGCGUGCUUUCGAUACGGGUUGACUUGAGGAAAGGUAGGGGAGAAUGGAAUUCCUGGUGGAGCGGUGGAAUGCGCAGAUAUCAGGAGGAACACCAGUGGCGAAGGCGGUUCUCUGGGCCUUUCCUGACGCUGAGGAGCGAAAGCGUGGGGAGCGAACAGGCUUAGACACCCUGGUAGUCCACGCUGUAAACGGUGGGUACUAGGUGUGGGGUCCAUUCCACGGGUUCCGUGCCGUAGCUAACGCUUUAAGUACCCCGCCUGGGGAGUACGGCCGCAAGGCUAAAACUCAAAGGAAUUGACGGGGCCCCGCACAAGCGGCGGAGCAUGCGGAUUAAUUCGAUGCAACGCGUAGAACCUUACCUGGGUUUGACAUGGAUCGGGAGUGCUCAGAGAUGGGUGUGCCUCUUUUGGGGUCGGUUCACAGGUGGUGCAUGCCUGUCGUCAGCUCGUGUCGUGAGAUGUUGGGUUAAGUCCCGCAACGAGCGCAACCCUUGUUCACUGUUGCCAGCACGUUAUGGUGGGGACUCAGUGGAGACCGCCGGGGUCAACUCGGAGGAAGGUGGGGAUGACGUCAAGUCAUCAUGCCCCUUAUGUCCAGGGCUUCACGCAUGCUACAAUGGCUGGUACAGAGAGUGGCGAGCCUGUGAGGGUGAGCGAAUCUCGGAAAGCCGGUCUCAGUUCGGAUUGGGGUCUGCAACUCGACCUCAUGAAGUCGGAGUCGCUAGUAAUCGCAGAUCAGCAACGCUGCGGUGAAUACGUUCCCGGG
rnacentral:rRNA from 1 species